UAGUAACUGCGAGUGAAGCGGGAAGAGCUCAAAUUUUGAAUCUGGCAGUCCCUUGGCUGUCCGAGUUGUAAUCUAGAGAAGUGUUUUCCGUGCUGGACCGUGUAUAAGUCUCCUGGAAGGGAGCGUCGUAGAGGGUGAGAAUCCCGUCUUUGACACGGACUACCAGUGCUAUGUGAUGCGCUCUCGACGAGUCGAGUUGUUUGGGAAUGCAGCUCAAAACGGGUGGUAAACUCCAUCUAAAGCUAAAUACAGGCGAGAGACCGAUAGCGAACAAGUACCGUGAGGGAAAGAUGAAAAGAACUUUGGAAAGAGAGUUAAACAGUACGUGAAAUUGCUGAAAGGGAAACGCUUGAUGUCAGUCGCGUUGGCUGGGGAUCAACCUUGCUUCUCGCUGGGUGUAUUUCCCGGUCGACGGGUCAGCAUCAGUUUCGGUCGCCGUACAAGGGUGAGGGGAACGUGGCACUCCUCGGAGUGUGUUAUAGCCUUUCGUCGUAUGCGGUGGUCGGGACUGAGGAGCUCAGCACGGCUUCUUGCUUGUGCUCAGGAUGCUGGCAUAAUGGCCUUAAGCGACCCGUCUUGAAACACGGACCAAGGAGUCUAACAUGCCUGCGAGUGUUUGGGUGAUAAACCCGAGCGCGUAAUGAAAGUGAAAGUUGAGACCUCUGUCGUGGAGGGCAUCGACGCCCGGACCUGAGUCUUUGACGACGGAUCUGCGGUAGAGCAUGUAUGUUGGGACCCGAAAGAUGGUGAACUAUGCCUGAAUAGGGUGAAGCCAGAGGAAACUCUGGUGGAGGCUCGUAGCGAUUCUGACGUGCAAAUCGAUCGUC
rnacentral:rRNA from 1 species